rnacentral:rRNA from 1 species
GAUCAAGUGUCGUAAGGGCAUUUAGUGGAUGCCUUGGCAUGCACAGGCGAUGAAGGACGUGAUACGCUGCGAAAAGCCGUGGGGAGCUGCGAAUAAGCUUUGAUCCAUGGAUAUCCGAAUGGGGAAACCCACCUUAAAUACCUAGAAAAUCUGAAUUGUUGACCGACCAGUCAACGGUCCUUGUCUCCUGCUUAACUCUUCUGGGUUGGCGAGGGAAAGGGAUCGAAGCCCGUUGGGCUUCGCAAGGCCAAGGGCCGUCGUCGCUGAUGCGACGUAGGCUCAACGCUCUGGUGGCUGGUAGAACACUUCAGGUUUCUAGGUAUUGUUAUAAGGUAUCUUCACCUGAAUAAAAUAGGGUGUAAGAAGCGAACGCAGGGAACUGAAACAUCUAAGUACCUGCAGGAAAGGACAUCAACCGAGACUCCGCAAGUAGUGGCGAGCGAACGCGGACCAGGCCAGUGGCAAUGAGUGUUAAAGUGGAAGAACCUGGAAAGGUUUGCCGUAGAGGGUGACAGCCCCGUACGCGUAGAUACACUUAUUGUCCUAGAGUAGGGCGGGACACGUGAAAUCCUGUCUGAACAUGGGGCGACCACGCUCCAAGCCUAAGUACUCGUGCAUGACCGAUAGCGAACCAGUACCGUGAGGGAAAGGUGAAAAGCACCCCGACAAGGGGAGUGAAAUAGAACCUGAAACUGGAUGCCUACAAACAGUCGGAGCCCGCAAGGGUGACGGCGUACCUUUUGUAUAAUGGGUCAACGACUUAGUGUAACAAGCAAGCUUAAGCCGGUAGGUGUAGGCGAAGCGAAAGCGAGUCUGAAUAGGGCGAUAUAGUUUGUUGCAUUAGACCCGAAACCGAGUGAUCUAGCCAUGAGCAGGUUGAAGGUUGGGUAACACCAACUGGAGGACCGAACCCGCAUCUGUUGCAAUAGAUUGGGAUGACUUGUGGCUAGGGGUGAAAGGCCAAUCAAACUCGGAAAUAGCUGGUUCUCCGCGAAAUCUAUUUAGGUAGAGCGUCUGACGAAUACCCCCGGGGGUAGAGCACUGGAUGGGCUAUGGGGACUCACCGUCUUACUGAUCCUAACCAAACUCCGAAUACCGGGGAGUACUAUCAGGCAGACACACGGCGGGUGCUAACGUCCGUCGUGAAAAGGGCAACAACCCUAACCUCCAGCUAAGGUCCCCAAGUCAUGGCUAAGUGGGAAAGGAUGUGAGGAUCCCAAAACAACCAGGAUGUUGGCUUAGAAGCAGCCAUCAUUUAAAGAAAGCGUAACAGCUCACUGGUCUAGUCAAGGGUCUUUGCGCCGAAAAUGUAACGGGGCUGAAGCCAUGCACCGAAGCUGAGGAUGUGCAGUAAUGCACGUGGUAGCGGAGCGUUCCGUAAGCCUGUGAAGGGGUACCUGUGAGGGGCCCUGGAGGUAUCGGAAGUGCGAAUGUUGACAUGAGUAACGAUAAAGAGGGUGAGAGACCCUCUCGCCGAAAGACCAAGGGUUCCUGCUUAAAGUUAAUCUGAGCAGGGUUAGCCGGCCCCUAAGACGAGGCGGACACGCGUAGUCGAUGGGAACCACGUUAAUAUUCGUGGGCCUGGUGGUAGUGACGGAUUGCUUAACUUGUUCACACUUAUUGGAUUGUGUGGGCGGGGACGCGGUUCCAGGAAAUAGCUCCACCGUAUAGACCGUACCCGAAACCGACACAGGUGGUCAGGUAGAGUAUACCAAGGCGCUUGAGAGAACUAUGUUGAAGGAACUCGGCAAAUUGCACGCGUAACUUCGGAAGAAGCGUGACCCUUAUAUACGCAAGUAUGUGAGGGUGGCACAGACCAGGGGGUAGCGACUGUUUACCAAAAACACAGGGCUCUGCGAAGUCGCAAGACGACGUAUAGGGUCUGACGCCUGCCCGGUGCUGGAAGGUUAAGAGGAGGGGUGCAAGCUCUGAAUCGAAGCCCCAGUAAACGGCGGCCGUAACUAUAACGGUCCUAAGGUAGCGAAAUUCCUUGUCGGGUAAGUUCCGACCUGCACGAAUGGCGU